rnacentral:misc_RNA from 1 species
UUAAGUUCAGCGGGUAUCCCUACCUGAUCCGAGGUCAACCUGAAAAAGUUGGGGUUUGCUGGCUAGCGACCACCGGGGCCCAACAGCGAGAGAUGUUACUACACUGAGGGAACCAAUGGCGCCGCCACUACGUUUGAGGCCCGCCGUUACCGGCGCGGCCCAAGACCAAGCAGUGCUUGAGGGUUGAAAUGACGCUCGAA